rnacentral:rRNA from 1 species
AACGAACGCUGGCGGCGUGCUUAACACAUGCAAGUCGAACGAGAAAGAGUUCCUUCGGGAACUUGAGUAAAGUGGCGCACGGGUGAGUAACGCGUAGAUAAUCUACCCGAUGAUCCGGGAUAACAUUUCGAAAGGGGUGCUAAUACCGGAUAAGACCACGGGCUCUUCGGAGUCUGCGGUAAAAGGUGGGGACCUUCGGGCCUACCGUUAUCGGAUGAGUCCGCGUACCAUUAGCUAGUUGGUGGGGUAAGAGCCUACCAAGGCGACGAUGGUUAGCUGGUCUGAGAGGAUGAUCAGCCACACUGGAACUGAGACACGGUCCAGACUCCUACGGGAGGCAG